rnacentral:tRNA from 1 species
UAACGAAUAGUUUAAAGUAAAGCAGCAGAUUGUGGUUCUGUAGAUAGGGAGAAUCUUUCGUUAG